ACGCUGUGUGGCAAAAAUAAUAGUGGGCUCUCAAAAGCAGCAAAAAUCGGCGACCUACUUAAUCCAUGCAGAUGCAGGCCUGUUAACCGCUGAAACCGCAUAUUUCAAGGCCUGGAAUGAUCUCCCUGUUCUAGCUUCCAUGCAUGGCUCCUGUGUCCCAAACUAGAUCCAUUAGAAUACAGGGAGGGUAAUCAGAAUAGAUUUUGCGACAGUGCUGCUAUUUUGAUUUUCCGAUAUUCUUUGACUGUUUGACUUUUUUAUUUUUUAUUUUUUUGGGCAACAAGCAACAUGUUGUCCGGAAUUCCUCGCACUUGCGCGCGCACACACACACAUAUAUAUGUUUUCCCCUCGAAUUGCGAAUGGGGCGUCCGCGAAUUCUGUUCUCAACCAGGUUGCUGGGAUCGGAGUGGACAGAGUCAGGUCCGCGGGAAGCCAUCAAUGUGGCCGUCA
rnacentral:sRNA from 1 species